rnacentral:rRNA from 1 species
UCCGUAGGGGGCAAGCGUUGUUCGGAAUUACUGGGCGUAAAGGGCGCGUAGGCGGCACGACAAGUCGGGAGUGAAAGCCCGGGGCUCAACCCCGGAGGGUCUCUCGAAACUGUCGAGCUAGAGUGCGGAAGAGGCAAUCGGAAUUCCCAGUGUAGCGGUGAAAUGCGUAGAUAUUGGGAAGAACACCGGAGGCGAAGGCGGGUUGCUGGGCCGACACUGACGCUGAGGCGCGAAAGCCAGGGGAGCAAACGGG